CUGAAAUGAACAAAACACUAAAUAAAUCCACCUGCAUGGACUGGAAGUGACAUUAUCUACCAAUUAAAUUGUUUCUGACUUGAUGUCUGACUAGCAUGUGUGACUUUCUCAGUUCUGGCCUGUAUAAUGAGAUCCAGUGCAACCCUAUAAAGCCUAUAAUCUAGAUACUUUGCUUAAUACCUACACUUGUGAUUGGUAGCCAACAUUCAAGAAGUACAAUCUUAUUUCUAGUGGUUCAAGAAUCCUAAAUCCAACAUGUCAUAUUAGUCAGAAAUCUAGGUAGAAAUCAUGUUACCAGAUAAGUUUCCCACAGUAUCCUGAGCUUCUGGUACCCCUAGGCUAGCUUCUACUGGCACCCUAGAUUAUGCAUACUAUAAUAACCACAGACUCUAGUAUAUAUAAACACAAAGAAUAUAGAUAGAAGCACAUUGUUUCAAGCAUGUCAGAUUUCAGUCAUCAGUCUAUAUAGAAAACCCAAAGGAUUUGAGGGAAAAAACUGAUUCAACUGAAUUAAAUAAAGCAAAAUUUGUUUAUUUAACAAAAACUAUGGCCAGCCAACAAUUUAACAAAGCUAGUAUAAAAGUGAAAAAAACAACAAAAAAAAAACAACUUUGAAUAUAAAAAGAAAGUUUCUGUAUUUUUUACGACAAAGUUUGAAUACAAGGGGGGAAAUAAUACGUUAUACUAUACAAAUAGCCUGUUAUCUAAUGGAUUAUAUUCUAUCAUUUACUCCCACUAUCUUUUAAAAAUUAAAAAUAAAAGCAUAUCAAUAGUAAAUUGUGAAAUAUUUAAUACCUGUUAGCUGUGCCAUCAAAUAUCGCAUUUGCCUAACUUUUUCGGGGUUUUCAUGUUGGUUUGUUGUCUUUCGCGGGUGAGAAUAGCGUGCACGACUUUUAAAUCUUUGAACCAAUGGUCAAAAGUCGAAAAAAUAUAAAAAAACAACGAGAAUUUGCUGCAAAAACUUCGAAAAGCAAAAAUAUUUUUGAUAAAACCAGGGGGGUGUGAAAAUCGCAGCGGGCUCAGAAUUGAGCCUGGUCAGUGGUAAUUUCAUGAGCCGGAGGAACCAGUUGUCAUGGAAAUGGCGUCAUAUGGCGCGAAAAUCCGCCAUGUUUUUGGCGACACUUUUUGAUGCCGAGCACGUCCUCCAGUAAUAUAGUAUAGCUCAGUGGGGUCAACCCAUUGAACUAUAAAUAAACUGGAAGGCUAACUCAGGGGGGGAAAUUGAAGCCAGUGCAUUUUAGUUUUUCUGAGUUAUGAGCAGAAAUACUCAACACUGAACACGUUGGGCUAUAUAUCAAAUUGAAGCUAUUGAAAAAUGCUAUUUGGUGUAGAAAUUUCAAGACUUUAGCUGAAAGGGAAAUAUUGAAAAACUACAAACAUAAUUACCGAUAAUUUGCCGUUUUGCAGUUGUUUUUGUAUUUUUUAAAUAUUUUUCUUUUCGCUGAAGUCUUGAAAUUUCCACACCGAAUAGCAAUUUUCAAUAGCUUCAAUUUGAUAUAUAGCACGACGUUUGGGGUCAAGUAUUUCUGCUCAUAACUCAGAAAAACUAUUUUGGCUUCAUCAAAUCAUAGGCCUCCAUCAUAGCAGUUAGCCUUCCAGUUUAUUUAUAGUUCAAUGGGUCAACCUC
rnacentral:lncRNA from 1 species